AUUGAACGCUGGCGGCAUGCUUUACACAUGCAAGUCGAACAGCAGCGCGGGCUUCGGCCUGGCGGCGAGUGGCGAACGGGUGAGUAAUACAUCGGAACGUGCCCAGUAGUGGGGGAUAGCUCGGCGAAAGCCGGAUUAAUACCGCAUACGACCUGAGGGUGAAAGCGGGGGAUCUUCGGAUCUCGCGCUAUUGGAGCGGCCGAUGGCAGAUUAGCUAGUUGGUGGGGUAAGGGCCUACCAAGGCGACGAUCUGUAGCUGGUCUGAGAGGACGACCAGCCACACUGGGACUGAGACACGGCCCAGACUCCUACGGGAGGCAGCAGUGGGGAAUUUUGGACAAUGGGCGAAAGCCUGAUCCAGCAAUGCCGCGUGUGUGAUGAAGGCCUUCGGGUUGUAAAGCACUUUUGGCGGGAACGAAAAGGACUGUGCCAAUACCACGGUUCGAUGACGGUACCCGCAGAAUAAGCACCGGCUAACUACGUG
rnacentral:rRNA from 1 species